UUGGAUUGUGUCUUCACAAAGACAAGAGACAGAUUCGAAGGAGCGUCGUGCUUACGAGCACGUAGUUUACGAGUUCGAUCGCAGUAUCUGGUUUCAGCGAGUGUUAUGUGAGUUGGCGUAGUGGCGAAAGAGAGCUUAAAGUGAGAGGAAAAAUCGCAUGAAGAGGCAGAAAUUGACGGGCGCUGCUUGACGGAUAAUAAUAUCAGUUUUUAAAAUAGAAUGAACAUCGUUUAGUGCGCGUACAUAUACAGACACGUACGAGAUAUUGCUAUAAAGUUAAUUUCACGUUUUACGGACAUAUAUGUACACGCGCGUGCGUGUUGCGAGGGUACGAAUACAUAUAGUUUCGCUGUCGAACGGUGAUAUAUUGUGAAAAAUCCGUGUGGAGCAGCGAAAACAAACAACUCGUGUCCGCCAUCUUGUGCCUCUCCAGCUACGUUGAAAGGAAAGUGAGAGAAUUCGGACCGACGUGUGUGAUUUUAUUCGGUGAGAAAAAAGAGUGUAAGUAGAGGUGACCAACGGUCACCGAAUGUGGUCAAAAUUGCAAAAAACACGAAUAGGGAGGACUGCGAGAGAACUCAAAAAAAGCGAGACGAGGUAGCAUUGCGCUCAUAGGAGGUUCGUAGGAUACCCCACCAAGUUUAUUCCUCCGCGUUCCCCCUACCCUUUUGCCCUGGAUCCCGAGAUUAUUGCGCAGUUAGAAAAUUCAUUGAAUACAAACAUCGUCAAAAACUUCGUUGCAUCUUUGGAAAGUGACCCGCGGACAUUAUACGACGGGUUGGUUGACUUUAUGAGUGAUACGAAAUUAUUAUAAAGCCAUGACGAAUUCGGUACCGAAAUUGAAAAACAAGGUAGACCGGCAGGGUUCGCCAAAUGUCGGCAUUGAUCGACAUCAUCACCGUUCGAUAAUUACACUCAAACAGCCGGCGUAUGUCCACAUGAGUGGGAGAUCUCAUGGCAGAAGUUCAACCGGCAGAUUAAGCUGCAGCCCACACGGUUCUUCAAAAGGUUCGAGAAAUUCACCGUUGCGGUAUGAAUAUAGUCCGCGCGGCAGUCCAACAAACAGUUUUUAUGCGGGUGCAAAGUUUUCUGAACCGCCAUCUCCUGCGAGCCUUCCGAAACCACCGAGCCAUUGGACUACGAGACUGAUGAGCAGUUGUCAGCAAUCCGACAGGAUUUGCGAUAUUUCAAAUCAUCUGAAGAUGAUGUUAAACGUCCAAGCCUGAUACAUAAAGACCAACAGACCGCUAAAAACGGUUACCAGCUCCUAAAAACAAAGAGACAGGUACGAUAUUAUCGUCCCCCCUCUUGGAUUUAAGGAUGUAUUUUUUUUUCUUGUAUGUGAUGUCAAGCUGUUCGUUUGAAACAAACAAAAAAAAAAACAGAAGUGUUUAUAACUGCGCGAUACCACAAUCUCUAAGAAUGAUACACAAGUAAUAUUGCAAUUAGAACAGGGCACCAGCGUCUUCAGUUUCAUGGUACAGAUGCUGCGUGAAAAAAAACUACGAUUCGUUCUUUAAACUACUAUACAAAACAUAAACAUUGAAUAUGAAAGACGCAGGUGCGUCUGCCGUGAACCAUGAUUCAAGUAUAUAAUAACUUGUAACAAUUCUAUUAUGCGCCGUCUAUGAAGAUAUAAACGUAUGUAUUUUAGAUUAUUAUUAUAUAUGAUUAACUUGCAGAGACGCAUACAUAUACACAAAUACACAAACACUGUUAUAUUAUCUGUUUGACGAAAUGGUACGAAGACAUAGGCAAAGCUGCAUUAGCUAUUUUUAGGAACAAUAGCUAUAUAUUUUUUUUUCUUUUUUUUCUUUUUUUUUUUUUUUUUCUCUUUAAGCUCAAAAUUGCUAUAUCUUAGCACUGUUGAUUAUGACAGUAUAUAUGUUUUAUUCUUUAUUAAUUAUAAUCCGGAAUUCUUUCCAAAACAAUUAUUUAAAUCUUUAUACCAGAUAUAUACUACUUGCUUUUUUCUGAUUAAAAGAUACUUUAUAUGUACAUCAUAAGUGGUAAACUUUAAGUAUUACACAUAUUCAUCUACUGCUCUUUAGCAUAAACCUAAGUAUCAAUUAAGUAUAACUUUGACUAAUGAUUACUCUUAUAUAAUUUCUUGUCUCUCAGAUUCAGUUAAGUCUUCAAUAGGCUCAGAAGUCUUCAAUGGCAAUAGGUUUUGUAGAAUUCACAUGUUCAGUGAAUCUUUAAAUCAAAUUACCCUUGAAAAAUCUAUUAUAACAAAAUUUUUGGUUUUUAUUUAUCUUCUUUUGUUCUUGAAGAUAUAUCCUCAAUUUUGCAGCUUUGCAAUAAUUCUGCAAAGCAUUAUAUAAGAUUUAAGUGAUGAGUUUCCAGUGUGCAUACAGAUGGAUCAAUUUUUUUGAAAAUUCGUGAAUGAGAGAAUGAUAAGAUUGUAUGAAUGAAUAAUGAAGAAAAUGAUUUGAUACGUAUGAUGAUGGAUAUUUUACUAUUCUUCUUUUUUUUUCUCUCAAAAAAAUUUAUAAUUAAGCAAUAUUAAUGCUUAAAUUAACAAAAUUUUUAGAAGAUUCUCUAUAAAUGACAAAUUUAAUUUUUAUCUAAUAUAAGAAAUCCAAUUAGAGGCUUGUCAUUAGGAUUUCAUUAUAAAGUGAUUUUACUUAUCUUUAGAAUUGAAUAAUGUUUAAUUAUUUGAUAUUGAAUGAAAUUGUGAGUUCACAAAAUUUUUUGGUUCAAUUCUAAAUAUAUGUGUUCCAAGAAAACAUUUCAAAAAUGAAAUUUUUUCUGAUUUUAUAUCGUUGUAAUGAAUUUUUUUUUUCUAACAUUGCAUAUGUUAUAUUAUAAAAAUAAUAACAAUAAUUUUUAAUUUUUUUUUGCAUUUUCUUUUUCUGUUUAUCUUCUCUCUCUCUCUCUCUCUCUCUCUCUCUCUCUUUCUCUUUCUCUUUCUCUUUCUCUUUUUCUUUCUCUUUCUCUUUCUCUUUCUCUAAAUACAAUAUUUAAUUAUAGAUUGACCAAAUUAUUUAAAAUGAUGUUUUAACUAAUAUAUUAUUUUCUCUAAUAGGAAAUAUUGCUUUCUUUUUCCUUUUUUUUCUUUUCUUUUUUUUCUCUUUUUUUUAAAUUAUAUUGAUUUCAUUCUCUCUUUAACAAUUUUUUAUUUAAUUAUUACAAUAAAUUAGGAAUUGGAUUUGAUGUAUGCAUAUGCAGAUCUCAAGAAGAAAAAAAUAUCCGAACAUAUGUAUAUUCUUUGUGAGAGAAUGAGAGUGAGAGUGAGAGUAAGAAUGAGAAGGACUGGAAGAAAAAUACUAAAACGUGCAAUUUCGAACUUUCAAUUACUUUCUCCAUCUUUGUAGUCUUGUAAGGCAAAAAAUUUUUUAAUCGUAUCUAUAGCAUCUGACAGCAUUACCCGUGGAAUGGUUGAUAAAAAUUUUGAUGUAAAAUCGACGAGAAUUCAUUGAUUUUCAGUUAACCGGUUCUCAUUGAACAGGAUCUCGAUUUCUUUUUUUUUUUUUUUCUCUUUUUUAAUAACCAUCGCCAAACAAAACAGCUUAGAAAACUGUUAACCAAAAAAGCGGUAAUGGUGUUAAAAGAGAAAAAAAAAAUAUUUUCUUCUUCAUUUUUGUUACUUUUGUAAUUCAAUUCAUAAAUACGUUUUCAGUUUAAUUUUUUUUCAACUCAUUCUUAAGACCAUAUAUUUUUAAGAUGCUACAAAAGUCUUAAAUUUCAAUUUUCGCUCAUCUGAAUUUCAUAGAAGAAAAUUAUUUCUAAUGAUAGUACACGUGUAAUAUUGAUAAGAACCGGAAGAUAAUCGAUGAUCGUUAUAAUCCUUGCUAAAUAGUUUCUGCUCUCGUCGGAAAAGGAAUUGUUACGAUUGAAUAGAUAAAUAGAAAGAAAUGAAUGGGGCAGGAUUAUAUCCAGAAAGUGUAUCGUUUUCAUCGCAUAAAUUAUUAUUUUUUUUAAAUGCAAUAUAUAAGUUCCAAAGAUUUCUUAAAUGUGAUUUUUGUAGAGAAUUUUCAAGGAAAAAUUUCCCGUUUGUUUGAUGGCUUGUUUCGAAGAAGAAAGUACAAUGAUCUCUCUCUUUAAAAGUUAGGGAAUUCUAUUCUUUCUUUCUUUUUUUUUUUUUUUUUUUUUUUUUAAUUUUUCGAAUCAUAUUUGUAUAAAUCAUAUUAAACCUAAUAUUAAUUGUACAUAUAUAUAUGUGCCAGGAUUCGGAUGAAAAUUUGUCAAGUUCGUUAUGAGUUUUUUUCUUAAAGGACUCAUCGGACAUGAAAUAAACGAAUUAAAAAAACACUGCCGUCCUGUGGGAAAUUGAUGGGAUUGGAAUCGAUAGUAUUUUGAGCAUGCGAAGGUUAUCGCACAGAUGCGCAUCGUUUGUGAAUUUGUGUAAAUAAUGGAGAAUAAGAAAGUUGCAAUUUCGAACAUUUGUAAAUGUACUGUAAAAAAAAAAAAAUUAAUGUACAUAUGAAGAAUGCAAAAGAACGAUGUGUAUUAUGUAUAUAUUAUAUACAUAUAAAUAAAUAUAUAUAUAUAUAUAUUAUAUACAUAAAGAAAAUAAUUAAUCUCGAUGACAACGGCAUUUGUUCCGUUCCGAUCGAGAGCAUGGACCUUAAAAAAUUUCGAAACUCUAAGUACAGCAAUAUGCAUAAUUACCUGUUCGAGUCUCGCAAAAAUGCAAAAAAUAGUCAGUAUGUGCAAAAGUGAAAAAUAAAAAACAAAAAAAAAUGAAAAAAAAAAUAGUUGAAGGUUGCCAGGCUCGAUUCAAAUGAUCUUUGAGACGAACAAAACGUGUAAUUGAAAAGAAAUUGUAUUCUAUGAUAAAGAGGGAAAUAUGAAAGGAACAAAAAAAUGGUAUCCAUAUAAAAAGUGACGCAAAUAAAAAAAGGCACGAAUUGCAAAAUAAUGAAUAAUCAACCAAUUGAUAAUUUAAACAAUGAUAAGAAAUUAGCUGUGAUGAUGAUCCUAUAGGUACUACUAAUUUUUAAUUGGUAACUGAUCAACAUAUAUAUAUAUAUACACACAUAUAUAUAUUAUAUAUUAUAUGUAUAUGAUUAAACGAUAAGAUGGGCUAAUUUAAGGAACGUUCAAGUACGAUGAUAUAUAAAAUAGAAGAUAAUACAGUCUUUUUUCAGAGAGAGCGAAAGCGAGAGCGAGAGAGAGAGCGAGAGCGAGAGCGAGAGAGAGAGAGAGAGAGAGAGAGAGAGAGAGAGAGAGAGAGAGAGAGAGAGACGUUAGAUAACAUGAAAGAAACAUAAAAAUAUUGUGUGAAUAGGAAAAAGGUAGGGAGGGGGAUGUUUUUCUUUGUCUCUUAAAACGUGGAUUUGAAUCCCGUGCACUUCUACGUAUUAUUAAUUAUCCAUAAAACUUAGUGAUUAGCAACGUAUGCGCGCGAUAGUGGAACACAAAUAAUAAACAAAAAUAAUAAAAUAACAGAGAGCACAGACAUUAAUAUUAUUUAGGAACUCUUUCGAGUACGUCCAUCUUGUGUGUCGUAAUCCACUUUCGUGACUUUAAGAUGAAAAUAUAGCUAGUAGUUCUAAUUAUAAGAGCCAACGAGAACUUGGGUCGUUUCGAAAAAUGGGAUCGAGGUCGGGAGGCGGAAAUUUUAUCUUUGAAUGUUGUUUCCGGUUGAAGAAACCGCGAGAUAUCGUGAUAUUACUUCUUUCUGUUUUCGGUUUACGCGAAUAUUUUCCGUGGAUCGAAUUUAAUGCGUAUGCCAUAAAUGAAAAGAAGUAGGUCUUUUUCUUAUUUUUUUUCUUUUAAUUUUUUUUUUUUGUGGAAAUGACAGAAAAACAAGAAAGAACAAAAAGAAUGAUACGAGACGAUCCAUGCUCGAUUGGUAUUUAUUGUGAUAUUGUAACGUACAAAAAUCGUUCGUCGCGAGUUACACGAAAAAUCGAAAAAUAAUCAAUACAAAUUUAAGAUUCUCGUGAAUGCUUCAUGGAUGUGUCACGGAUCCAUUUUCUAAAACAAAAAAACAAAAAAUGGCACUCUUGCUAAACAUUUUACGAUCUUAUAUUUUAAGUAUUUUAUAUCUUAAUAAUUUUAUUGUCUAAGAUAUUACAACUUCAUUAUUUUUGUUUCUUAAAAUAUAACGAUAGUUUUAAUUAAUUGUCAUGAUCAAAUCUGACAAAAGAUAAUUUAAAUUGCAACAAUAGAGAUUAAAGAAAUCGAUCCUAUAACAACAAAAAUUAAGAAAUAUUAUCUUUUCUAUUUCCUAUAAAACUCAUUUAAUAUACGUGUAUAUAUAUAUCGUGAUAUUAUGUUAGAUUAAAAAAUUUAGCCACCGAAUAUUAAAGGAACAAGAUCUUUAUAAGAAAUAGACUAUUUACUACUUGUCUUGCAUCACACGUUCAUUGUGAAUGCGGCAUUAUUGACUGCGGAGUUACAUGUUUACAUAUUCACCGUGAUACAUCCGUCGACGAACAUCAUGCGACAUAUGUGUGCACGUACAAAAUGGCUACGUGCCCUUGUAUGUCCUGUUGCAAUCUAUACACGUAUAUCUUCGUACCUUUUGAAUAAUUUCUUUUGCUGGUCUCUUUCGAAAAAUGGUUAAUCGUAAAUCAUAAUUCUGUUUAUACUUUAAUUUUGCGUAAUUCUAAUAUAGGGCUGUACGGAAUAUUAUUCGAGGAGAAUAUAUUAUAUAUAAUUAUUGCAAAGAAAGGAAACGUGUCGAAAUGCUAUGUUUGUUCGUUUCUUUGAUCUGUUUGAACAAAAAUUUUUAAUUCAUCAUUAUAUUCGGAAAAUGUAUUUCUAUUUUUUCUUCGAUCUGUAAAUUAGCUUUGGAGCUUCCACAAAAAAUCGAUGGAAUUCCUCGUCUGUUUGAUUCGUUUUGAGAUUCUUAAGUGAUAUAUAAAAAAUGCACUUGUACGGAUUCUUUUGAUCAAAGCUCCGUUUUUUCCGAUUAAAUGACGAAGUUUCCAAUUUUAAUUGAAAGUUCUUUCGCGCAUUUUUUUGGAUAUAUUAAUACAUGCACUUUAUUACUUAUUUCAUUAGACGGAUAAUUAAUUAUUUUUCUUAGAAGAACAUUACAUUUCUUUUUUUUUUUUUUUUUUUUUUUCAUAUAUAUAUAUAUUUUCUUUUUUUAUUAUUAUUAUUAUUAUUAUUUAGUUGUAAUUACAUUUAUGGUGAUGUGCUCUUUUUCUUUUUUUCUUUUUCUUUUCGUUUUUUUAAAUCACAAGUGUAGUUUUAGGUUAAUGACAUCAGGAAAAAAAAAAUCAAUCUCUUGCUAUUUACUUAAUUUCCGUAAUUCACAAUUUACUCUAGUUUUGUAAGCGAUUUAUUCACAUCGGUUGAGUAUAUUUGAUUUAGGGUGAAAUUUUAUGUUCGUACUUCGAAAAAUUUCUUUUAUUCAGAUUUUAACGCCUUUUUUCUUUUUUUCCUUUACUAUCAUUUGGCAAACUCUCAUGUAUAAAAGUGGUGUUAAAGAGCAGAGAAAAAGAAUCAAUACGAAUUUUUGCAUAUCCGUACUACUUUUCAUUAGGGAAAGAAUACCGGCGAAACGUUCUUUUUAAAAAAAAUUCGCGAUUAAAUACAAUGAAUCGAAAGGAAAAAUGUGAGGAUCAAACUCGCAUCGAAGUAAAUAUAUAGAAAAAAUAUAAUAAAAUAGAACCAACGUCUUCGAACGACAACGUCAAACAAUACAAAAAUGAAACAAUGAAAUUAUGUCGCGUCUCGAAUCGUUUUGCCCUCAAAAGUAUUUUGUCACGAGGGAACUUCGAAACGCGACAUCAUAUUAUCGAUAUGUAAUAAUAUCGUUUUAAAUUGAUCUUUCAUGCAAGAGAAUGGAAAUCAACAGCUCAUCAAUUUCAUACGAAGCACUGAUCAUUAUACAGGGACACAAAACACAGCCACACGAAACACUAUGUCGAUUAAUUAAUUAAGCCUUAAAUUUAGAAUUAAGUUGAAAGGUCUGAAGUGAAACAAAGAUAGAAAGGAAAAGAAGGAGGGAGAGAGAGAGAGAGAGAGAGAGAGAGGGAGAAAGAGAGAGAAAAGAGGAAGAAGCUGUCUUUUUAAGCGCUAUGGUCUACGAUUACAUAUUUAAAUCAAAUAUCUCAAUCAAUGUUUUUUUUUAAAAAGAUAGAACAAAUGUGAGAAAGCGCGAUUUUAAUCGGUAAAAGAUUGAUGUUAUUUUUUUUUCUGAUCCAAUCGUGCCUCCUUUUUUGUUCCAUUUAGAUUUCUUACGUGGUAUUCGAUUCGUAUAUUUCAGAUUUGAUUUUAAAUAUCUUUAAUUCUCGUCGAAACAAUCGUCAAAAUUCGAGGCACAUGCUUUGAUCUCAAUUGUUCUCGCGAAAGGAACUUUUAUUUGUGUUUUAUUUCUAUACCAAGGAAAUCUAGUGGUCAUGGAAUCAUGCAGCGAAAUUCGACGCCAUUUUCACUCGCUCUUCAAUAAUCGAUUUAUAGUAUUAAUAUAACAAGUGUCGCUUUGCGUUCGAAUCGAAUCGUUUCAAAUUCGAGGCGACAUUUUCUUCAAGAUCACUAAUAAUAAUAUAUAAAAUAAAAGAAGACCGAAAGUUUGUUUUCUGCGUGGUUCUACGAUACACACACAUUUAUAUAUCGAACGAUAAAAAAAAAGACAUUUUCGAAGGGCUAGACCAUUGUUAAGGAAAGUACGAUUUUUACCUACGGUAGCAAGGAGAAGUUUCUCGUGAUCUAUUGAUUGUUUACUUGUAAAUUCCAUAACGCAUCUCUGACGAGCCUGUCGAUGACAAUAUUUUUUAUCCUUCUUCCUGCUGCUGCUCGUGAAAGUCCAGCCGUACACCAGCGCGAUGCGCGACCAUAAAAAAUACAAUAUCAUUUUGUUUUUUUUUUUUUGUUUUUUAUUAAAUGGGAUUAAUUUGACGGAAGAUUAAUCAUAGAGCUCGUAAAAAUAUGGUAUAAAAAAAAAAAGAAAACAGGGACAUCAAAUGAAUUGCACAAAAAUUUUACAUAUUAUAAUAAAACAAGUAUCCGUGUCAAUCUGAUGUGCGGCUAAAUUAUAAAAUGUAGGGGAAAUGGAUUGACCGCAAUUGCGGUACGUAAAAAAAAAAAAAAAAAAACGCACUGACUAUUUUAGCGAAUCGAGAUUCGACCAUGUACCUUGAUAUAUAUCUUGAGAGUGUCUCCAGAAAGUAUGUAUGCGUUGGUGAUUGCGAAAGGAAGUAAGAAUGCGAAUAUGUAUGUAUGUAUGUAUGUAUGUAUGCGAGCGUGCCAAAAGAAAAGUUGUGAGAUUAAGCGUGCGUGCACGUAUGUGUGGUGUGUGUGUGUGUGUGUGUGUGUGUAAGAGGGAAAGAGAGAGGGAGAGAAAGAGAGAGAGAGAAAGAGAGAAAAUAAACUUAAAUAUAUAUAUAUAUAUAUAUUAAAUAUAUACGGUCGGAGGGAGAAUCCCUUCGCUCUUGAAAAAGAAAGAAAAUGGACGCGUUUUAUCCAGAAGAUAAUUAAAAUGAAGAUCGUUUAUUUUUACGAUCGUUCGAACAAAAUUCGCAAACCAAAAGUAAAUUAAAUGAAAGAUGAAUAAACUCGGAAAAAACGUGUCCGUUUGACUUCUCGAUUUCUCGCAUGUGCAGAGCGGUUUAUGCACCAUUGCACGAUCAAUAAUAAAAGAAAAGCAAAACAACACACGAUCGAUGGCGUUUAAAAAUGUGUGCGUGCGUGUGUUGCUUGACAAAGAAGUUAUGAACGAAAAGAGAUUGUGCCAUCGCUCGCACGUGCGUGACAAUAAUUUUUCCUACGUGUAAUCGUUGUGCGAAAUAACUUUAGUUUUUUUCUUCUCCUUUUUGUUUCAAGGCUCACCGCGGAGAGUAAUGUUUGCGCGGUAAAUUUGAAAUUCUGCAAGAUAGAAAUUUUCUAUUUUUCACGCAAAAAUGUGAAUACACGACGCUUGUAUUUUGAGUCAAUUACUAAAUUAUCCGCGCUGCCAGAUGUUCAUUCCACUUUUAAUCGGCCAGUAGUGAAAGACGCGGCGCUGCCAUCUUGAUCCGUAGACCUAGUUUCCAUACUAUACAGGUCAAUAAUAUAAUUAGCAGUAAAUUUUAACUAUGUAGAAACGAAUUAAGUAAAUGCGUAUUAUAUAUAAUUUCAUGCUGUUUGAUCAAUUGACUGUAUAUUUUUAUUUUAUAAAUUUCAUAAUUUUAUCUAUGAUAAAUAUAAUUUUAGUACAUCAUAAAAAUCAAAUUUAAGUGCAAAUUAUAAUUUAAUAUAAUGAGAAUUGCUUUUAUAUCUGAGUUUUACUCAGCUGUACAUAUCAUAUAAUUGUACAAAUUAUAUAUAUUAGUCUCUCUAUUAGUACCUUCCGAAUAAAAUUUACAAGUGAAUAAAGAUUUUAAAGGAAGGAUGAUAGAUUGACUAUUUUAAUUUUUAUUUAAAAAUUUUGGAGACUAGUACUUCGGAUCGGAAAAAAUUGUAAAUUAGAUAUAUAUUUAUAUCGAAAUGGUCUUAAGAAAAUGACUUUCCUGUCACGCGCAGAUGUUUCUCCUCCGUCUAUCUGUCCUACAAACCACGUGGCAUUUCAUCUUCGAAUGGUUUCUCUUACUUUUGUUAUUUCUUUUUUUUUUUCCAUUUUAUAAGCUUAUAUUUUUACAUCAUCAAGCAUCGCUGUACAGAGCAUUGUUCCGCGAAACUUUGGUCUGCUUUAAAACGAACGAUGAUUUAGAAAUAAAAAAAUGCAAAAACGAACGAGGUAGACUUAUAGUGCACCGAAGGGCACUAUCUAUUCGAAGAAGCUUAUACUUCAGAAUCAAUAGGUCUUUCAUUUUGUACAUUUAUUAAAACAUAAUUUUCGUAUUGUUUUUUGCUAAUAUUAUCCUCUUUAAUAACAACAACAUUGUGAAAGCUUGUUUCGACUGGAUCCAAAAAAAAAAAAAAAAGCAAAAGAUUAAGAAGUUAUAAGUAAAGUAAAUUAGCACAAUUCAAAACAAUGAAAAAAAAGGAAGAAAAAGAAAAAGUCAAGACUAUCGAUAAUCCUAUUGUCUUCGAAAGUAUAGGCUUCGCGAAUCCGAUAAAGUUAUACAAAAAACAAAAAAAAAUACAGAAUGACAGAACUUUUGUUCUGUCCCAACGAAAUAGAGGCGACGAGUUUACCGUUAGGCAGUAAAUUAUAUAGAUGUAAUUAAGGUUUACUAAAACGCGAUAUUUGCAAUGAAAACGGUGAGAGAAACGAGGAGAAAGAUAAGAGCUGUAUCGUGGAAUGAUUGAAGGAUUAAAUAUUAAAGAUGACGAUGUGAUCCCAGGAAACGAUGCGAUUAUCGUUUUCCUUUUUGCGUCUCUUUGAUAAAACUCCGUCGCGGACAUGAUGCAAUUUGCUGUCAAGUUUUAGGGUAUAUAAGAAUAGAGUUAUAUAAUGUAUAUCUAUAAUUGUACGUAAAAAAACGCAAAAGCAGUACGUUUAAGGUUCGACUCGAGCGCAUACAUAAGAAAUAAUGUAUUAUAAAAUAUCAUAUUAAGGGUGCCCGUUUUGAGUGCAACAUUUUUUUUUUUCUUGAGGAGGAUCAAUCGAUAAAAAGCGGGUCUAAGCGAAAGAAAGAAAGAAAGAAAAAAAAAACAAGAACAGAUUCGCGAACAAUUGUACAUAAUGCGUGAAUCGAAAUUCAUUUUCACGAGCCGUGGUGAGCUCGCGAAAGAGAAAAAUAUUUUGUUAUGUAAAAAAAAAAAAAAAAAGAAUCGAUGACUGAUCGAUGAGAUGAAGAAAAAGAAGUUCCAUUUUGGGAUACAGUGUGUGGCUGCUAUGCAUUUUCAAACGCACGUUUCGAGUUAUCCUAUGAAACUGUUCGAUCGAUAUAUAGAUCUUUCUGCGGCUUCAAGUUUGUAAAGAAAAGCGAAGAAGAGGAAGAAGAGGAAAUAAGAAUGAAGAAGGGUGGCAACGAAAAACAAGACAAUGGAUGCUGUCGUUACGCGCAAGAACGAGAUUUCUUUAUCAUUCCGAAGAGAUAGACUAACUUGGUCACUUUCAUAUUAAAAAAAAAAAUAAUAAUAAAAAAAAAAAAUAAAAAAAAAUAAAAAAAAAGAAAUACGUAUACCGAGAAAACAUAAGUAUGUACAUUCCGGUUCAUAACAAAAUGAUCUUUCGAGAUCAUAUUAAAUUGUGCGUGCAUUAUUCACCAAUAAAUUAUUUUUACUAAAGAUAUAUGUACAAUACAUAUAUCGAAGAGGAGAGAGAAUUUCGACUGGACGCAAUUCCCGUCGAAUUUUAAUUUCUUCGAAUGGAAUCAAACUAUAGAGGAAAUGAAGAGAGGACCAAGAAGAACCGAGGAAGAAUAAGAACCGAGUCAAGGGGAUAACGGGAGAGCUAACGAUGGCGCGAUCGACGAGAAUGGAUUAUGAUUAUCGAUUGGCCACCUUUCAACGCGCAUCCCGUUGUUUUCUUGGCGAAACAAUCGUCUCGUGUUUGCGCGUUCGACGUGGGCUUAGGACUGUGUGUGUGGGUUCGUAAAAAAAGAAGAAAUCAAAUGGAAGUUAUACAUAGACGGGACGAAAUAUGUGGUCCCGUGUAAAUAAGGAAAAGACUCGAAAUUUUUUCGAUGAUAUAAUAAAUAAUUUAAUAAUCGUCCACACAAUACGAAGUUCGACAGAGGAACAAUUAUUUUUUGCCGUUUUUUCUUCUAUUGAAAAAAAAAAAAAAAAAGGAAACUUCUCGAAGUUUCCGUCGCUAGAGCGAUGAACAACUGUGGCGUAGCGAGAUGAUUAUCUUGAACGGCGAUGAUGAUGAUGAUCCUCCGGAAAAGGAACGUAACUGAGAAAAAGAGCAAGUACUUGGAGAAAUAUAAUAUGGCGAAGAAUGAUAUAUCCAAGUCGUACCUAAAGCGUAAUUGUUUAUAUAUCGUAAUUUUGGUACUGUUAUUCGAGUACGUAUACACGCGUUUUUUUCGAAGAAAUUAUAAUAAGCGCGUGACCAAUGGAGGAGGAGAAGAAGAUGAAGAAACACGAAAAAGAUGCAAAGAAGCGAUUGUCGGCGAUAAUAAAAUUAAAAGAUGAAACAGAGUAAAAUGGCAGCACCGCGGAAUGGAAGAUUUAAUGCGAGUAAAGGAGGAAAUAUAUAAUGUCUUUCAAAGUGAGAAUGAUUGGUAAUGAAGAAAUAAGAACCUCUGAGUGAGGUUUGAGCGGAUGUGAUGAGAGGAUUUCUAAAAAACCAUCAGAAAAAAUGUCUUUUUGAAAACAAAAAGCACCAAAAAAAAUCAAUAUAUAAAACCAGUGGAGUGUGGUGUGUGUGAGAAAGCGCGAGUGGGAAGGAUGAUUGAAAAUAAAAAUAAGAAAAUAUCAACAACGGAGAAGCUUAAUAAAGGGAUUUAGGAAUAGUAAGGAAACAUGAUAUUGGGAGAGAAAGUAAAUAUGGCUUUAAAAAUAUUGGUGUGCAAUAAUCGCCGAGAUAGCUCAAAGAUGAAUCGAGCAGAAAACAGAUGAAAAAAAAAAAGAAGAUUCUUGAAUCUUCUUUCAUAUAUAAAAACAAGGAUUGCGAGGAUCUUUUUUUGUAGCAUGAUAAAAACAAAUUUUUGAGGCGAUUCAUGAAAUAAAAAUCAGACUUGACUUCAUUGGAAAAUAUUUCAGUACAGCACAACUACUACACACGCGCAUACACAUACAUACAUACAUAAUUCAUAUAUACACACGUAUGUACAUAAGAAAAAAAAAUGAAAGAAGCAGACUAAGAGAUUUAAUCUUAAAAAAAAAUUUAUGUGAGUCACGUGUGCAAAAUUCAAAUUGAAUAAACACUGGACGCACAUGUUUACUAUUAUCAUCGUUGCUAUCGUAUGUCACGGCAUAUAUUAAUGGAAAUAAACGCAGAAGUGCGAAAACCUUCGAGGAACUGAAUGAAAAAGAAAUACAUUCAGAAAGUUAGAAAGAAAAUUGAUUGAAAUUGACCAAACGUCUGAAAAUUUUUUCAAUAAUUGUACAUCAUUUACCAUUUUUCAAAAGACAUACGUGUAUAUAAACACGUCAUAAUUAAAGUUUUUUUUCAUAAUCAUCUAGCGUGUAAAUGGAUCUGCUCCUUUCAAGGAAAAACUAAAAGAAGAAGAAGAAGAAGAAGAAAUAGAGCAACGAGAGAAAAUUUUUAAUGUUUUUUGGCAUCCUGUCUUUUUUCUACUUAUUCUUUUUUAUUUCUUUUUCCUUAAUAUUACGCUUUCACCAUCCUUUCCUUUUCAUAAUAAUGAAAACUACUGGCCGAAAAUGUAUAUCACAAAAAAGUAUUCAGCUUUAUUCGUAAACAUUUUUUGAUGAUAAUAUUAUCCCUGUUCCUGUCUUAUACUAUAUUUUACAUGUUGCUCAUAUCCCGUCCACAUUUUCACUUUACUAUCCUUUUUUUUCUUUAGGGCCCUUCUCAGGGCCCGCAAAUGUCUCAUUGUAUGGAGUAGCAAUUUCUCGGAUGGACUAAACAUGCAUAAAAUCUGUCCUUUUCAGGACAAAAAUUUAAAAUCAUCUUUUUCAAGGCAAAAGUACAAAAUUAUUCAUUUUUGAAUUAAUUCUUAAAUUAAUUUUUAAAAGUUCUUUUCAGGAAAAGAUUCUACAAAGUAUAAUAAUACUUUUCAAGCUCAAAUAUUUCAAGUACCUGAAUUAUUAAUGCAUUGUUCUGCAUUUCAUUGUGAUAUUGUUGAAUUCUUUUUUCCUGCUGUGUUAUAGGUGUGACUUCAGUAUAUUUUUCUUACUAAGAAGAUGGAAGUAUUAUAUAUUUUCGAUGAAAUAAGAAGUAUAUUAUAAAAUCGAAGAAGUAUUUAUUCAAUCAAUUAAUUUUAUAAUUUUUUAAAUAAUUUUUAAUAGUAUAUUUUUUUUAUAAUAAAUAUUUUUUAUAUUUUCUCUGUUAUUUAUUUUCUUUCUUUUCUUUAUAUAUUUCCUUGUAUAUUUUUACACAUUUUGAAUUUAUAUGUAAAAAAUGAUAAAUUGAUAAAUAUUGAAAAUUAUGUUUUUAAAUAAAAGAUGUAAAUCAGAUUAAAAUUUAUAUAUAUUUAUGUACAUAUUGUAUCUUACGUUAAUUUCUUUUGAAUUUUAAUAUUUGUAUAAUAAAAUGAUGUCUAUGAAAUGAACGAAUAAUUAAAAAUAUAAUAUUAUGAUCCCAAAAGAAAAUUAAUCAUUAUUAUUUUAAAACUUGUGAUAUUAAUAAAUGUGUAUUCAAA